rnacentral:rRNA from 1 species
GGGUCAUUAGGUUGGUCGUGCCACCGGUACGUACUGGUCUCACUGAUUCCUCCUUCCUGAAGAACCGUAAUGCCAUUAAUUUGGUGUUGCGGGGAAACAGGACUGUUACUUUGAAAAAAUUAGAGUGUUUAACGCAAGCUAACGCUUGAAUACAUUAGCAUGGAAUAAUGAAAUAGGACGAUCGAUCCUAUUUUGUUGGUUUCUAGGAUUGACGUA